GCGUUAAGUUGCAGGGUAUAGACCCGAAACCCGGUGAUCUAGCCAUGGGCAGGUUGAAGGUUGGGUAACACUAACUGGAGGACCGAACCGACUAAUGUUGAAAAAUUAGCGGAUGACUUGUGGCUGGGGGUGAAAGGCCAAUCAAACCGGGAGAUAGCUGGUUCUCCCCGAAAGCUAUUUAGGUAGCGCCUCGUGAAUUCAUCUCCGGGGGUAGAGCACUGUUUCGGCAAGGGGGUCAUCCCGACUUACCAACCCGAUGCAAACUGCGAAUACCGGAGAAUGUUAUCACGGGAGACACACGGCGGGUGCUAACGUCCGUCGUGAAGAGGGAAACAACCCAGACCGCCAGCUAAGGUCCCAAAGUCAUGGUUAAGUGGGAAACGAUGUGGGAAGGCCCAGACAGCCAGGAUGUUGGCUUAGAAGCAGCCAUCAUUUAAAGAAAGCGUAAUAGCUCACUGGUCGAGUCGGCCUGCGCGGAAGAUGUAACGGGGCUAAACCAUGCAC
rnacentral:rRNA from 1 species